GACGAACGCUUGCGGCCGGUCUAACACAACCAAGUUGAGCGAGCGGCGGACGGGUGAGUAAUGUAUGGGGACUGCCCGAUAGAGGGGGAUAACUACUGGAAACAGUUGCUAAUACCGCAUACUAUCGGCUCACCCAUAUGGGAUUAGCUAGUAGGCGGGGUAAAGGCUCACCUAGGCGACGAUCUCUAGCUGGUCUGAGAGGAUGAUCAGCCCUACUGGGACUGAGACACGGGCCGGACUCCUACGGAGACGGCAGUGGGGAUUAGUGCACGAUGGGCGCGAGCCGGAUCCAGCCGGGCGGCGGGUAUCAACAAAGCCUUAGGGUUGUACAGUACGUUUAGUGCGGCGGCAUUAACCGCAGAAGAAGCACCGGCUAAAGCCAAGCCAGCAGCCGCGGUAAUAC
rnacentral:rRNA from 1 species